UCUUUGUUAAUUUUAUAUGUGUAGAAUAUUUUUCUAGCCUUAAUCUUCGUAAUUCAAAAUAAAACAAUAACAACAGUUUGAUACACAGGGGAGUAUCACGUGAUCGCUAAAGUACAUUGGCCGUACAAGAUGGCGAAUAUUUCGACCGCAUCAAUACAUAAAUUCGGCGUUUACGGAUGGUAAAUGUUAAGAUUAUGCUGCACAACAAGUUUGUCCCUACUUAAUACGCUUUCUAGACAAUAUAUGAAUUGAGUCGGAUUAAGAUUUCGUAUAUGACGGAAGAAGUCAACACUUUCGCUUCAUAGACCCAAACAAAAACGAACUGGAAGAAAUACCUCUAAACGAGGCAUGCAAAAUGAUUUAAACCAUGAAACAAAAAAUACAACUACAAUCUGCACUCAC